rnacentral:tRNA from 1 species
GGGAGAAUACAACCAAGCGGCCAAAGUUAUCCUGUCACUCCACGGCAGGGUUGGAUAAGCAUCCACAUCGCAGGUUCGACUCCUGCUUCUCCCA